UCGGGAAUUUUGGGCAAUGGGCGAAAGCCUGACCCAGCAACGCCGCGUGAGGGAUGAAGCAUUUCGGUAUGUAAACCUCGAAAGAAUGGGAAGAAUAAAUGACGGUACCAUUUAUAAGCUCCGGCUAACUACGUGCCAGCAGCCGCGGUAAUACGUAGGGAGCAAGCGUUGUUCGGAGUUACUGGGCGUAAAGGGCGCGUAGGCGGCGCGGUAAGUCACUUGUGAAAUCUCUGAGCUUAACUCAGAACGGCCAAGUGAUACUGCUGUGCUAGAGUGCGGAAGAGGCAACCGGACUUCUUGGUGUAGCGGUGAAAUGCGUAGAUAUCAAGAGGAACACCUGCGGCGAAGGCGGGUUGCUGGGCCGACACUGACGCUGAUGC
rnacentral:rRNA from 1 species